rnacentral:lncRNA from 1 species
GACCAGUUUGGACAACAUGUAAAAUCAGAAGUGCACUUGAACUUUUAUGUUUAUUAUGGUCCUGAUCGUAUUAGAGAUUCAGCCUGGCUUUCAAAACAGGAUAUUAUUUUGACUACUUACAAUAUUUUAACUCAUGAUUAAGGAACUAAAGAUGAUAGUCCAUUGCAUAGCAUCAAGUGGUUCAGGGUGAUCCUGGAUGAAGACCAUGCUAUUUGAAAUUCAAACGCUCAGCAGACAAAAGCUGUACUUGAGUUAGAGGCAGAAAGAAGAUGGGUAUUGACAGGUACUCCGAUCCAGAAUUCUUUAAAGGACUUGUGGUCUCUUCUGUCGUUCUUAAAACUUAAGCCAUUUAUUGAUAGAGAGUGGUGGUAUAGGAUCAUACAGCAUCCUGUCACUACAGGAGAUGAGGGCGGACUUAGGCGUUUACAGUCCUUAAUAAAAAAUAUCACGCUUAGAAGAACAAAGACAAGCAAAAUUAAAGGGAAACCUGUUUUGGAGUUGCCAGAAAGGAAAGUAUUUAUUCCGCACAUUACUCUGUCAGAAGAAGAGAGAAAGAUUUAUCAGUCUGUUAAAAAUGAAGGUAAAGCUGCUAUUGGAGGGUAUUUUACUGAAGGGACUGUCCUUGCACACUAUGCAGAUGUCUUGGGUCUUCUGCUUAGAUUGCGGCAGAUUUGUUGCCAUACCUAUCUUCUUACAAACGGAAUGUCUUCAAGUGGCCCCUCCAGAAGUGACAUGCCUGAAGAGCUGAGAAAGAUGUUAAUAGAGAAGAUGAAGAUAAUUCUGAGCUCUGGUUCAGAUGAGGAAUGUGCAAUCUGCCUGGAUUCCUUAACAUUUCCUGUGAUAACCCAUUGUGCACACAUGCUCUGUAAACCUUGUAUCUGUCAGGUCAUCCAGAGUGAGCAGCUACCUGCAGAGUGUCCUUUGUGCAGAAAUGAGAUAUAUGGAGAUAAUCUAUUAAAAUGUCCUCCAGAAGAAUUGGCAUGUGACAGUGACAAAGAGUCCAGUAUGGAAUGGACAUCCAGCUCAAAGAUUAAUGCUCUAAUGCAUGCUUUGAUUGAAUUAUGGACAAAGGAACCCAACAUAAAAAGUUUAGUUGUUUCUCAGUUUACCACAUACUUGUCUUUAAUAGAAACGCCUCUUAAAGCCUCAGGAUUUGUAUUUACUCCUUUAGAUGGUUCCAUGGCUCAAAAGAAAAGAGUUGAAUCAAUUCAGCGUUUUCAAAACACAGAAGCAGGAUCUACCAUUAUAAUGCUACUGUCCUUAAAAGCAGGUGGAGUUUGCUUGAAUCUCUGUGCAGCUUCGUGAAUGUUCUUAAUGGAUCCGGCCUGGAAUCCUGCUGCAGAAGAUCAGUGCUUUGACCGGUGCCAUCGACUUCUCCAGAAGCAAGAGAUGAUCAUCACAAAAUUAAUUGUGAAGGACUCUGUGGAAGAAAAUAUGUUGAAAAUACAGAACACGAAGUGAGACCUUGCAGCUGGAGCCUUUGGCACCAAGAAAACAGACGCCAAUGAAAUGAAACAAGUGAAAAUCAACGAAAUCAGAACUUUAAUAGACUUAUAA